rnacentral:misc_RNA from 1 species
UGUGGGAGCGGGCUUGCUCGCGAUGCAGGCGCUGCGGUGUUUCAUUUGAACCGCGCCGAUGUCAUCGCGAGCAAGCCCGCUCCCACA